rnacentral:tRNA from 1 species
GGAAGCACAACCAUCGCUGGUGGGUGGCCCGGUCUUCAAAACCGGUGAGGGAGAUGAGAAAUUUCCUUGGUGGGUUCGAUUCCCAUGUGCUUCCGCCA